GAUGAACGCUGGCGGCGUGCCUAAUACAUGCAAGCCGAGAGAACGGACGAGAAGCUUGCUUCUCUGAUGUUAGCGGCGGACGGGUGAGUAACACGUGGAUAACCUACCUAUAAGACUGGGAUAACUUCGGGAAACCGGAGCUAAUACCGGAUGAUAUUUUGAACCGCAUGGUUCAAAAGUGAAAGACGGUCUUGCUGUCACUUAUAGAUGGAUCCGCGCUGCAUUAGCUAGUUGGUAAGGUAACGGCUUACCAAGGCAACGAUGCAUAGCCGACCUGAGAGGGUGAUCGGCCACACUGGAACUGAGACACGGUCCAGACUCCUACGGGAGGCAGCAGUAGGGAAUCUUCCGCAAUGGGCGAAAGCCUGACGGAGCAACGCCGCGUGAGUGAUGAAGGUCUUCGGAUCGUAAAACUCUGUUAUUAGGGAAGAACAUAUGUGUAAGUAACUGUGCACAUCUUGACGGUACCUAAUCAGAAAGCCACGGCUAACUACGUG
rnacentral:rRNA from 1 species